rnacentral:rRNA from 1 species
AUACGUAGGUGGCAAGCGUUGUCCGGAUUUAUUGGGCGUAAAGCGAGCGCAGGCGGUUCUUUAAGUCUGAUGUGAAAGCCCCCGGCUCAACCGGGGAGGGGCAUUGGAAACUGGAGAACUUGAGUGCAGAAGAGGAGAGGGGAAUUCCAUGUGUAGCGGUGAAAUGCGUAGAUAUAUGGAGGAACACCAGUGGCGAAGGCGGCUCGCUGGUCGGUAACUGACGCUGAGGCUCGAAAGCGUGGGGAGCAAACAGGAUUAGAUACCCUGGUAGUCCACGCCGUAAACGAUGAGUGCUAAGUGUUGGAGGGUUUCCGCCCUUCAGUGCUGCAGCUAACGCAUUAAGCACUCCGCCUGGGGAGUACGGCCGCAAGGCUGAAACUUAAAGGAAUUGACGGGG